CAGCAGCCACGGGAAUACGGAGGGUGCAAGCGUUAAUCGGAAUUACUGGGCGUAAAGCGCACGCAGGCGGUCUGACAAGUCAGAUGUGAAAUCCCCGGGCUUAACCUGGGAACUGUAUUUGAAACUGUCAGGCUGGAGUCUUGUAGAGGGGGGUGGAAUUCCAGGUGUAGCGGUGAAAUGCGUAGAGAUCUGGAGGAAUACCGGUGGCGAAGGCGGCCCCCUGGACAAAGACUGACGCUCAGGUGCGAAAGCGUGGGGAGCAAACAGGAUUAGAGACCCGUGUAGUCCCUGUCUCUUAUAC
rnacentral:rRNA from 1 species